AUGGAAGAGGUAUUCUAAUGUAUAUACAAAUAAGUAGACAACUAUAAUGAGUUUAAAACUUCAACUUUUCAUUUCUUUGUAUUCACGCUUCAAGUCUCAGCUUACAAGAAUCAGUGUAUCAGUUGUGUACCUGAUAUUGGAGAGCAAAGGAAGAAGAGGAUAAUCAGCAGUAGCAAAGCAACAACACAGCAACAACAUUAGAGUAGUAACAACAAUAGCCAGUAAUAGAUUAACAACCCAAUAGCAACUUCACAAAAUUCCAAACAACAACACUCAAAUGCACCAGAAACAACAACUACCCUUGUAACAGUAACAACAAACAGUUCCGAUGUUCAAGAGUGGAGAGAAGACCUCACUUUUAGUUUUUAUCUUUCAAACUACUCUUUUAACUCUCAAACUACUCAACUUCUUAAGAUUCAAAGUCCGUUUUUAUUUCACUCUUAAACUCUCUG
rnacentral:lncRNA from 1 species